rnacentral:tRNA from 1 species
GCAGUCGUGGCCGAGUGGUUAAGGCGAUGAACUAGAAAUCCAUUGGGGUCUCCCCGCACAGGUUCGAAUCCUGACGACUGCG